CCGUGUACGUACAAGCAGUGGGAGCACCCUUUGGGGUGUGACUGCGUACCUUUUGUAUAAUGGGUCAGCGACUUAUAUUCUGUAGCAAGGUUAACCGUAUAGGGGAGCCGGAGGGAAACCGAGUCUUAACCGGGCGUUAAGUUGCAGGGUAUAGACCCGAAACCCGGUGAUCUAGCCAUGGGCAGGUUGAAGGUUGGGUAACACUAACUGGAGGACCGAACCGACUAAUGUUGAAAAAUUAGCGGAUGACCUGUGGCUGGGGGUGAAAGGCCAAUCAAACCGGGAGAUAGCUGGUUCUCCCCGAAAGCUAUUUAGGUAGCGCCUCGUGAAUUCAUCUCCGGGGGUAGAGCACUGUUUCGGCUAGGGGGCCAUCCCGGCUUACCAACCCGAUGCAAACUGCGAAUACCGGAGAAUGUUAUCACGGGAGACACACGGCGGGUGCUAACGUCCGUCGUGAAGAGGGAAACAACCCAGACCGCCAGCUAAGGUCCCAAAGUCAUGGUUAAGUGGGAAACGAUGUGGGAAGGCCCAGACAGCCAGGAUGUUGGCUUAGAAGCAGCCAUCAUUUAAAGAAAGCGUAAUAGCUCACUGGUCGAGUCGGCCUGCGCGGAAGAUGUAACGGGGCUAAACCAUGCACCGAAGCUGCGGCAGCGACGCUGAUGCGUUGUUGGGUAGGGGAGCGUUCUGUAAGCCUGCGAAGGUGGCCUGUGAGGGUUGCUGGAGGUAUCAGAAGUGCGAAUGCUGACAUAAGUAACGAUAAAGCGGGUGAAAAGCCCGCUCGCCGGAAGACCAAGGGUUCCUGUCCAACGUUAAUCGGGGCAGGGUGAGUCGACCCCUAAGGCGAGGCCGAAAGGCGUAGUCGAUGGGAAACGGGUUAAUAUUCCCGUACUUGGUGUUACUGCGAAGGGGGGACGGAGAAGGCUAUGUUGGCCGGGCGACGGUU
rnacentral:rRNA from 1 species